UACGGAGGGGCUAGCGUUGUUCGGAAUUACUGGGCGUAAAGCGCGCGUAGGCGGCUUUGUAAGUUAGAGGUGAAAGCCCGGAGCUCAACUCCGGAACUGCCUUUAAGACUGCAUCGCUAGAAUUGUGGAGAGGUGAGUGGAAUUCCGAGUGUAGAGGUGAAAUUCGUAGAUAUUCGGAAGAACACCAGUGGCGAAGGCGGCUUGCCAGAACGCGCUCGGACGGUGAGGGAUGAAAGCUGGGGGGAGCAAACCGG
rnacentral:rRNA from 1 species